rnacentral:rRNA from 1 species
GAUGAACGCUGGCGGCGUGCCUAAUACAUGCAAGUCGAGCGAAUGGAUUAAGAGCUUGCUCUUAUGAAGUUAGCGGCGGACGGGUGAGUAACACGUGGGUAACCUGCCCAUAAGACUGGGAUACCUCCGGGAAACCGGGGCUAAUACCGGAUAACAUUUUGAACCGCAUGGUUCGAAAUUGAAACGCGGCUUCGGCUGUCACUUAUGGAUGGACCCGGUGCGCAUUAGUAAGUUGGUGAGGGCACGGCUCACCAAGGCAACGAUGCGUAGCCGACCUGAGAGGGUGAUCGGCCAAACUGGGACUGAGAAACGGCCCAGACUCCUACGGGAGGCAGCAGUAGGGAAUCUUCCGCAAUGGACGAAAGUCUGACGGAGCAACGCCGCGUGAGUGAUGAAGGCUUUCGGGUCGUAAAACUCUGUUGUUAGGGAAGAACAAGUGCUAGUUGAAUAAGCUGGCACCUUGACGGUACCUAACCAGAAAGCCACGGCUAACUACGUGCCAGCCGCCGCAGUAA